AUUGAACGCUGGCGGCAGGCCUAACACAUGCAAGUCGAACGAGUGGCGGAGGGGUGAGUAAUGUCUGGGAAACUGCCUGAAGGAGGGGGAUAACUACUGGAAACGGUAGCUAAGACCGCAUAUCACCAGAUGUACCCAGAUGGGAUUAGCUUGUUGGUGGGGUAAAGGCUCACCAAGGCGACGAUCCCUACCUGGUCUGAGAGGAUGACCAGCCACACUGGAACUGCGACACGGUCCAGACUCCGACGGGAGGCAGCAGUGGGUAAUAUUGCACAAUGGGCGCAAGCCUGAUGCAGCCAUGCCGCGUGUAUGAAGAAGGCCUUCGGGUUGUAAAGUGCUUUCAGCCGGGAGGCGUUACCCGCAGAAGAAGCACCGGCUAACUCCGUGCCAGCAGCCGCGGUAAUUC
rnacentral:rRNA from 1 species